CCUCUCCGCCGCCUUUCUCCUUCCUCCUUAUUGUAUUCCGGGUGUGUGGCCGGCCGGGCACCGCAGUUCGGCUCAGGGCGCAAAAUGCGCACAGUUGGAGGCGCAGCGGAGCAAGGGGACGCGCGCGGGAGCGCACAGGUCCGAGGAGAGCGACGCGCUCACGAUAAUGGGCAGAAGGCUACCGCUGUGUGGCCGAAGGAGAAACUACUGAGUGCACCUCGUCCCUCACAGGUUCCAUCUGAGGCUCCGAACAAUCACUGACAUGACGAGAAAAAACUUUUUAAAGUUUUUGCUGCAUGCGAACACAAAACUCCAAACUCUUCCAAAACUAACAGCAGUGUGACAGUUUCCCCGGGUCACCUCAGGUCGGCAGACUCUAAUCACGGUCCAGCUCCCAGCUGAAAGCCUGAAUCUGCCGCUGUCAACUCUGCGCGGCGCGGAGCGCAGAUAAGCGCAGAGCGCGCGCAGCCCUCCAGAAAACAAGCCGCUGGGAGGAAGCGGGCGCUGCUGCAGCGCUGCAGCCGCCCCUGCAGCCCCUCUUACCUGCACUCAGUCUGGAGACAUCCGCCGGACCGCAGCAGUCAGUUCAGACAGCCUUCCAAUCCCGUGCGUAAAGUCACCAUCGCUGGAGCGCGUCGCGGACUUCGGUAACUCCUCUGUUGCUGCGCGCGGCGCCGAAGAUCAGGGAAGAAGAAGAA